rnacentral:rRNA from 1 species
CAGCCGCCGCGGUAAUACGAAGGGUGCAAGCGUUAAUCGGAAUUACUGGGCGUAAAGCGUGCGUAGGCGGUGAGUUAAGUCUGCUGUGAAAUCCCCGGGCUCAACCUGGGAAUGGCAGUGGAUACUGGCUCGCUAGAGUGUGUCAGAGGAUGGUGGAAUUCCCGGUGUAGCGGUGAAAUGCGUAGAGAUCGGGAGGAACAUCAGUGGCGAAGGCGGCCAUCUGGGACAACACUGACGCUGAGGCACGAAAGCGUGGGGAGCAAACAGGAUUAGAUACCCCCGUAGUCCCUGUCUCUUAUAC